rfam:Nematostella vectensis strain CH2 x CH6 NEMVEscaffold_231_Cont19842, whole genome shotgun sequence.
GCCCGGUUAGCUCAGAUGGUAGAGCAUCAGACUUUUAAUCUGAGGGUCAUGGGUUCGAGCCCCAUAUCUGGCG